GUAUAGAGCAAACUGGUCAGCAAAAUGCUGAGUAUCUCAUGGCUCAAGAGCUGUACUUCGAUUUCAGCCCGACUGCCGGAGUCAGAGGAUUCGCGGGUGAGAUCCCCAGCCCUGUGAGUCUGUAGGAGAAGAUGGCCCCCCAGAUGUAUGAGUUCCAUUUGCCAUUAUCCCCAGAGGAGUUGUUGAGAAGUGGAGGGGUGAAUCAGUAUGUUGUGCAAGAGGUACUGUCCAUCAAACAUCUUCCACCACAGCUUAGAGCAUUUCAGGCUGCCUUCCGAGCUCAGGGGCCCCUGGCUAUGCUGGAGCACUUUGAUACUAUCUACAGCAUUUUACAUCACUUUCGAAGUAUAGAUCCUGGCCUCAAAGAAGAUACUCUGGAAUUCCUGAUAAAAGUGGUAUCCCGCCACUCCCAGGAGCUUCCAGCUAUCCUGGAUGAUACAACCUUGAGUGUAUCAGAUCAAAAUGCUCAUCUAAAUGCCCUCAAAAUGAACUGUUAUGCUCUGAUAUGACUCUUGGAAUCCUUUGAGACCAUGACCAGCAGACAAACCUCAUGGACCUGGACCUUGGUGGGAAGGGUAAGAAAGCUCGGACCAAGGCAGCCCAUGGCUUUGACUGGGAAGAAGAGAGGCAACCACUUCUUCAGCUUUUAACACAGCUACUUCAGUUGGAAAUCCGUUACCUGUGGAACCACUCAAUAAUUGAAGAAGAAUUUGUCAGUUUGGUUACUGGCUGUUGCUACUGCCUUCUGGAGGAUCCCACUAUUAGUCACCAGAAGAACCGCCCCACUCGGGAAGCCAUAACACACCUGCUUGGUGUAGCCUUGACCCGUUACAACCAUAUGCUCAGUGCCACGGUGAAGAAUCAUCCAGAUGCUGCAGCACUUUGAACACCUGGCACCUGUACUACUUGCAGCUGUGAGUCUAUGGGCAACUGACUAUGGAAUGAAGAGCACAGUGGGAGAGACUGUAAGAGAGAUUGGACAAAAGUGUCCCCAAGAGUUGAGUCAAUAUCCUUCAGGGACAAAGGGCUUUGCAGCAUUCCUGACAGAAUUAGCAGAACGUGUCCCAGCUAUCCUGAUGUCUAGCAUGUGCAUUUUGCUAGAUCACCUGGAUGGAGAGAAUUACAUGAUGUGUAAUGCUGUGCUAGCAGCCAUGGCAGAGAUGGUACUGCAGGUUCUGAAUGGCUGCUUCCACAGCCCGAGACACCAGCGACCAGUUCUUGGAUACUUUACAAACCCAUGGCCGUGAUGUCAACUCCUUUGUGUGGAGCCGUGUUUUGCAGCUCUUCACCCGAAUUGGCCAGCAGAAGGCUCUCCCCCCGACACGUUUCCAGGCAGUGGUGGCUUUAGCUGUGGGACGUCUGGCAGACAAGUCAGUGCUGGUAAUGUAAAAAUGCCAUCCAGCUGCUGGCCAGUUUUCUAGCCAAUAAUCCUUUUUCCUGCAAGCUUAGUGAUACUGACCUUGCUGGACCACUGCAGAGGGAGACCCAGAAAUUACAGGAGAUGAGGGCCCAGAGGCGAACUGCAGCUGCUUUUGCAGUGCUGGACCCAGAGGAGGAGUGGGAAGCCAUGCUGCCAGAGUUGAAGUCUACCCUGCAGCAGCUUCUCAAGCUUCCCUAGGGAGAGGAGGAGAUUCCUGAGCAAAUUGCCAAUACAGAGACCACUGAAGAGGUGAAAGGACACAUCUAUCAACUGCUUGCCAAAGCUAGUUACAAACAGGCCAUCAUUCUCACUCGAGAAGCCACAGGACACUUACAGGAGUCCGAACCCUUCAGUCAUAUAGACUCAGAGGAGUCAGAGGAGACCGGGCUCUUGAAUAUCUUAGGAAUUACCUUCAAAGGCCCAGCAGUUUCCACACAAGAAAAGAAUCCCCAGGAGUCUACAGGAAACAUGGUCACAGGACAGACUGUCUGUAAAAACAAACCCAGUGUGUCAGAGCCUGAGGAAUUGAGGAGAAAUGACAAACUGGUGAAGCAGGAGAUGCUGCUGCAGUAUCUGCAGGAUGCCUGUAGCUUCUCCCGGAAGAUUACGGAGGCCACUGGCAUCAUCAGCAAGAUGAUGUAUGAAAACACAACUACAGCGGUGCAGGAGGUGAUUGAAUUCUUCGUGAUGGUCUUCGAAUUUGGGGUACCCCGGGCCCUGUUUGGGGUGCGCCACAUGCUGCCUCUCAUCUGGUCUAAGGACCCUGGUGUCCAGGAAGCUGUGCUUAAUGCCUAUCGCCAACUCUACCCCAACCCCAAAGGGGACUCUGCCAGAGUCAAAGCCCAGGCUUUGAUUCAGAAUCUCUCUCUGCUGCUAGUGGAUGCCUCGGUUGGGACCAUUCAGUGUCUUUUUGAGGAAAUUCUCUGUGAGUUUGUGCAGAAGGAUGAGGUGAAACCAGCAGUGACCCGGCUGCUGUAGAAACAGGCCACCGAGAAGGUCACCUGCUCUCCUCUAGAACGCUGUUCCUCUGUCAUGCUUCUUGGCAUGAUGGCACGAGGAAAGCCAGAAAUUGGGGGAAGCAAUUUAGACACACUGGUGGGCAUAGGGCUGGAUGAAAAGUUUCCACAGGACUACAGGCUGGCCCAGCAGGCAUGCCAUGCCAUUGCCAACAUCUCUGACAGGAGAAAGCCUUCUCUGGGCAAACGUCACCCCCUCUUCCGGCUGCCUCAGGAACACAGGUUGUUUGAGCGACUGCAGGAGACGGUCACAAAAGGCUUUGUCAACCCAGACCCACUCUGGAUCUCAUUCAAAGAGGUGGCAGUGACCCUCAUUUACCAACUGGCAGAGGGCUCCGAAGUGAUCUGUGCCCAGAUGUUGCAGAGCUAUGCAAAAUAGGCCCUGGAGAAGCUAGAAGAGAAAAGAACCAGUCAGGAGGACCCAAAGGAGUCCCCCCGCAAUGUUCCCCACUUUCACGUUGAUGAACCUGUUGUCCCUGGCUGGGAAGGUGGCUCUGAAGCAGCUGGUCCACUUGGGGCAGGCAGUGAGUGGAGAGCUUUGUUGGUGCCGAGUUCUCCGGGAAGGACAGGAGCACAAGACCAAAGAUCCCAAGGAGAAGAAUACAAGCCCUGAGACUGCCACGGAGGAGGAGCUGGGGCUGGUUGGGGCAACAGCAGAUGACACGGAGGCAGAACUGAUCCGCGGCAUCUGUGAGAUGGAACUGUUGGAUGGCAAACAGACCCUGGCUGCCUUUGUUCCACUCUUGCUUAAAGUCCGCAACAAUCCAGGCCUCUACAGCAACCCCAACCUCUCUGAAGCUGCUUCACUUGCCCUUGGCAAGUUCUGCAUGAUCAGUGCCACUUUCUGCGAAUCCCAACUUUGUCUUCUGUUCACCAUGCUAGAAAAGUCUCCACUUCGCAUUGUCCGGUCUAACCUCAUGGUUGCCACUGGGGAUCUGGCCAUCCGCUUUCCCAAUCUGGCGGACCUCUGGACUCCUCAUCUAUAUGCUCGCCUCCGGGACCCUGCUCAGCAAGUGCGGAAAACAGUGGGGCUGCUGAUGACCCACCUGAUCCUCAAGGACAUGGUGAAGGUGAAGGGGCAGGUGAGCGAGAUGGCGGUGCUGCUCAUCAACCCCGGGCCUCAGAUUGCUGCCCUGGCCAAGAACUUCUUCAACGAGCUCUCCCACAAGGGCAACGCAAUAUAUAAUCUCCUUCCAGAUAUCAUCAGCCGCCUGUCAGACCCUGAGCUGGAGGUGGAGGAAGAGCCUUUCCACACCAUCAUGAAGCAGCUCCUCUCCUACAUCACCAAGGACAAGGAGAAAGAGAGCCUGGUGGAAAAGCUGUGUCAGCGAUUCUGCACAGCCCGAACUGAGUGGCAGCAGCGGGACCUGGCCUACUGUGUGUCACAGCUGUCCCUCACAGAGCGAGGCCUCCGCAAGAUGCUUGACAAUUUUGACUGCUUUGGAGACAAACUGUCAGCUGAGUUCAUCUUCAGUGCUUUUUUUUGUCAGUUGUGGGCAAGCUGCGACGUGGGGCCAAGCCUGACGGCAAGGCUAUAAUAGACGAAUUUGAGCAGAAGCUUCGGGCCUGUCAUACCAGAGGUUUGGAUGGAAUUGAGGAGCUUGAGAUUAGCUAAGCAGGUAGCCAGAGAGCCCCGUCAGCCAAGAAAUCAUCCACUGUUUGUAGGCACCAGCCUCUGCCUUCUGCAGCCUCAGACAGUGACUUUGUCACACCAGAGCUCCGCCGUACUACCCGUCGCCAUCCAAACACCCAGCAGCAAGCUUCCAAAAAGAAACCCAAAAUUGUCUUCUCAAGUGAUGAGUCCAGUGAGGAGGAUCUUUCAGCAGAGAUGACAGAAGAGGAGACACCCAAGAAAACAACCUCCAUUCUCAGAGCAUCGGCUCGCAGGCUCAGAUCCUAGGAGUGGCCUUGCCCAUUCCUGACCUCCCUGUGCAGGGUAUCUUGUACCGUGGGCCUGGAAUUCCAAUUCUGUGCCCCUUGUAAAAUACUUAUCUGUCUCCUUUUUUAAAAAAAAUACGCAGUCUUUAAAAUGAAAGUCCUUUCUCUUAAAUUAGCCUAACUGAACUGUGUUGAGCUGCUUUCACUUUGGAAUAUAUGUUUGCCAAUCUCCUUG